AUUGAACGCUGGCGGCAUGCUUUACACAUGCAAGUCGAACGGUAACAGGCCGCCAGGUGCUGACGAGUGGCGAACGGGUGCGUAAUGCAUCGGAACGUGCCCAGUCGUGGGGGAUAACUACUCGAAAGAGUAGCUAAUACCGCAUACGAUCUAUGGAUGAAAGCGGGGGACCGUAAGGCCUCGCGCGAUUGGAGCGGCCGAUGUCAGAUUAGGUAGUUGGUGGGGUAAAGGCUGACCAAGCCAACGAUCUGUAGCUGGUCUGAGAGGACGACCAGCCACACUGGGACUGAGACACGGCCCAGACUCCUACGGGAGGCAGCAGUGGGGAAUUUUGGACAAAGGGCGCAAGCCUGAUCCAGCAAUGCCGCGUGCAGGAAGAAGGCCUUCGGGUUGUAAACUGCUUUUGUACGGAACGAAACGGCUCUGGUUAAUACCCGGGGCUAAUGACGGUACCGUAAGAAUAAGCACCGGCUAACUACGUG
rnacentral:rRNA from 1 species